rnacentral:lncRNA from 1 species
GCUGGAGCUGGAUGACAUCCGGGUGACGCCACAGGCCGUGUACCUCUUCCUCAAGAGGAAAAGUGUGGAACCGGGGUCAGCAGCAGCUGGCUGGGAUGGGGACCAGCCCUGGCCCCCACUGCAGGGGCAUGAGGCUGAGCCCCCCAGGCUGGGCACCCGGCACCCUGCACUGCCCGCUGGGGAUCCUAUGGGCAGCCGGGCACCCUGCUGUGAUGGCAGCCAGGACACCAAGGAAGGCAUCCAGAUUGUCAGUGUGGCCUCACUCUGCAAGGACGGUGGGCAGCUUGGGGACACUUUGGCUAUGGAGCUGGCGAAUGGUGAUGAUAGCUCCACAGGCACAGCCCUGGCUUCAGGGACUGCUCUGGGGGCUCUUGCCCCCCUGCCCCAGUCACUGUCCAGCCGAGGGCAGCUGGUAACACCCUCCACUCAGAACUCAGCCCUGAUGGUGAAAAAGAAGACAGUGGACAGGGCUAUCCUCCUGCAGAAAAAGGUCAAAGAUGUCAGUACUCAGACUGCCUUGCCAAACUCUGUGGGUCCAGGAAAUCACAGCCUUGCUUGGGGUGGACCAGUGCCCCCCACUGCUCCCAGCUGCCCUGCCAUUGCUGAGAAGCUGGAUGCUGUACAGAUGGAGGUGCAGAAGCUGAGCCAGGCCCUGCAUGCGGUGCUGGAGCGGCAGUGCUGCCUGGAACGCCAGCAGGAGCACCAGCAGCGGCUGCAACAAGAGGUGCUGAUGACACUGCAGCAGCUCAGCUCCACCGUGAGCCACGGCGCUGUGCCAGCCACCCAGCCCUGUGGCCCCUUCAGCAGCAUGGCUGAGCCCUCGCCCACCAUGGCAAACUUCAGCCAGUUCAAGAUGGAGCUGAUCUGAGCUCCUGCAAGGCCUGUGUGUGCCAGCAGUGCUGUGCUAAGGAAGCCGAGAGGAACAACCAUCUCUCAGAGGCUGCUCAAGGAUUACAUGCAGCACCCAGCAGAUAAGGUCCCUGGUGCCUCAUGUUCCCAGACCUGCUGACUGGAAGGCGCUGCCUGGCACAAGAGGCUGGGCAGUGGAAGGCUGAGGCUUUGCUCCUCCUGUGCUGCUAAUCCUGGCUGGCACUGGAGCUGGCUGGGGCCCAUGGACCUCAGCAGAAGGCAGUUGCCUGUAAGGAGAAGAUGCAGCUAAUGUGGACCCAGCAGGGAGGUGGGACUCCAAGGAUACAGGAGGCUUCCUUCUUGUGAGAAUCAAUGCCGUGAUGAUCAAUCUUGCCCUCCCCUCCACAGAACCUUGUUCAGUAAAAAUCUGUCUACACCACGGUUCAGAACCAGUGUGUGAUCAGUAUCCACAUAUGCCCUACCCCUCACCUGGCCAGUGAGCAGGCUGGAUCUGUCUGUGUCACUGUCACCAUGCACGGAACUGCACAAGGUGCAGAAACUCAUGAGGUGAGACCAGCACUCCACACACGAUGUUGUUGGAGCUUGGUAUCAGGUCCUGCACCCUUAAGGAUAGAUCAGACUUGUAGGAAACAAUCUUUUACUGAGGAGAUUCCAUCCUCCUCACCCCACAGACCCAGCAGAUCUGGAGUCUGGUACUGGUGCUGCCCACUGUCUGGCAAGAUAUGGGUAGGACCAUACCAAUAAGAGUUGUACCUGGGCAGGAGCUGAUUACCUGGGUGUUCAGCUCUCCUCUAACCAAUUUCCCUGGGAAGGAUACCCUCCUGGUUGUGAUCCCAGUUGCAAGGGCUCUCCCUAGAGCUUGCCUGGACCAGAAGGGCACAGGGGAGGCUGGAGUCCAGAAGGACCAGAGACUGGCCUUGUCUAUCAGGAGGAAGGGUCUGAUGGCAGUGGCCUUGGCUCAGCACCCAGUAGUGAAUCCUGAGAGGAGGCAGAGCAUGUGUUCUUCCUCUGCAUCAGCCAAGCAGGCUUUUGUCUGCAUGGGCACCACGCUUGGCACAACCUGUGCCUUUGAGAAUUUCCCAGCCUUUUUCUCAGGUCUCUUUGAGGCCAAGGUCAAAAUUAAGAAGGGUAAUAACCAAUUGAGGUGUUUGUACAGAGGCACACAUACAGAGCUGUACACGUAUGCAUAGAUGUAGGUGCAUGUGGCAGGUUUGUGCAGCAGCCCCAGUGUUUGAGGGAGCCGGACACCCGCUCUGCUCCCCCAAGACACAUUUCUGGCUCCAGGGCUGUGCCCAAGAGAACUAGAAAUCUUCUGCCAUCUGCCUGCAGUCAUUCAUUUUGAUGUUGGUGUAAUUUUGUGGACAUCUGAAAAGCAACAGAUGAAGAAAAACACAUGAUCAGUUGCUCUGCUCUUUUGCACAAGGCAGCUAAUCUGCACCUCAGGUUUGAAAAGAAGAGGCUGGAGGACCAGCACUCAGCAAUCACAGUUUCCUAAUGUCUCUGUUAAAGUUUCAGAGGAAAAGAGGAGCAGAACAGCUGCUAUUCCCUGGCACAUGUACAUAAAACCAUGCUGGUUUCUGAAAGAGCUUCCCUAAAUCUGACUUGGGCUAUUUCUUAAAUUAUUUUAAAAAUAUAUAUGUAUCUACCAAUAUAUAUACUGGCUUUUCUAUUCCCCAAAUGUAUUCUAAGAACUUUCCUCAUUUCUAACUCUUGCACAUCAGCCCUUUAUCCAGUGCUAAAAAAAACCCAGCCAAAAUUAAUAAAAAUAAAUCACCUGGGCUUGUUAAAUAACCA